UUAUGGCUCAGGAUGAACGCUAGCUACAGGCUUAACACAUGCAAGUCGAGGGGCAGCAUGACCUAGCAAUAGGUGAUGGCGACCGGCGCACGGGUGAGUAACACGUAUCCAGCCUACCGGUUAUUCCGGGAUAGCCUUUCGAAAGAAAGAUUAAUACCGGAUAGUAUAGCGAGAAGGCAUCUUCUUGUUAUUAAAGAAUUUCGAUAACCGAUGGGGAUGCGUUCCAUUAGUUUGUUGGCGGGGUAACGGCCCACCAAGACAUCGAUGGAUAGGGGUUCUGAGAGGAAGGUCCCCCACAUUGGAACUGAGACACGGUCCAAACUCCUACGGGAGGCAGCAGUGAGGAAUAUUGGUCAAUGGACGGGAGUCUGAACCAGCCAAGUAGCGUGAAAGGAUGACUGCCCUAUGGGUUGUAAACUUCUUUUAUAUGGGAAUAAAGUGAGCCACGUGUGGCUUUUUGUAUGUACCAUACGAAUAAGGAUCGGCUAACUCCGUGCCAGCAGCUGC
rnacentral:rRNA from 1 species